rnacentral:tRNA from 2 species
GAGUAAUUAACUCAGCGGUAGAGUAUAUGUCUUACAAACAUAAGGUCAUAGGUUCAAAUCCUAUAUUACUCA